rnacentral:misc_RNA from 1 species
AACGCACAUUGCGCCCUUUGGUAUUCCAAAGGGCAUGCCUGUUCGAGCGUCAUUUGUACCCUCAAGCUUUGCUUGGUGUUGGGCGUUUUGUCUUUGGCUUUUGCCCAAAGACUCGCCUUAAAACGAUUGGCAGCCGGCCUACUGGUUUCGGAGCGCAGCACAUUUUUGCGCUUGCAACUAGCUAAAGAGGCCAGCAAUCCAUCAAGACCUUCUUCUCACUUUUGACCUCGGAUCAGGUAGGGAUACCCGCUGAACUUAA